GAUGAACGCUGACAGAAUGCUUAACACAUGCAAGUCAACUUGAAUUUGGGUUUUUAACUUAGAUUUGGGUGGCGGACGGGUGAGUAACGCGUAAAGAACUUGCCUCACAGCUAGGGACAACAUUUAGAAAUGAAUGCUAAUACCUGAUAUUAUGAUUUUAAGGCAUCUUAGAAUUAUGAAAGCUAUAAGCACUGUGAGAGAGCUUUGCGUCCCAUUAGCUAGUUGGAGAGGUAACGGCUCACCAAGGCGAUGAUGGGUAGCCGGCCUGAGAGGGUGAUCGGCCACAAGGGGACUGAGACACGGCCCUUACUCCUACGGGAGGCAGCAGUGGGGAAUAUUGGACAAUGGACCAAGAGUCUGAUCCAGCAAUUCUGUGUGCACGAUGAAGUUUUUCGGAAUGUAAAGUGCUUUCAGUUGGGAAGAAAAAAAUGACGGUACCAACAGAAGAAGUGACGGCUAAAUACGUGCCAGCAGCCGCGGUAAUACGUAUGUCACGAGCGUUAUCCGGAUUUAUUGGGCGUAAAGCGCGUCUAGGUGGUUAUAUAAGUCUGAUGUGAAAAUGCAGGGCUCAACUCUGUAUUGCGUUGGAAACUGUAUAACUAGAGUACUGGAGAGGUAAGCGGAACUACAAGUGUAGAGGUGAAAUUCGUAGAUAUUUGUAGGAAUGCCGAUGGGGAAGCCAGCUUACUGGACAGAUACUGACGCUGAAGCGCGAAAGCGUGGGUAGCAAACAGG
rnacentral:rRNA from 1 species